CACGUAGGCGGAUCAGAAAGUCAGAGGUGAAAUCCCAGGGCUCAACCUUGGAACUGCCUUUGAAACUCCUGGUCUUGAGGUCGAGAGAGGUGAGUGGAAUUCCGAGUGUAGAGGUGAAAUUCGUAGAUAUUCGGAGGAACACCGGUGGCGAAGGCGGCUCACUGGCUCGAUACUGACGCUGAGGUGCGAAAGCGUGGGGAGCAAACA
rnacentral:rRNA from 1 species